rnacentral:sRNA from 1 species
CUCCAAAGCUGCGACCUUUUGAGACGGAAAAGUUUAUAGAAACAUUGGAACAGUCAGGACCUCAGUUGACAUCAGGAAUAAAAGGGGAUUGGGAGGCUUUGUAUAGGCGCUUCUUCCGUUCACCAAACUUUGAAGGCUGGUACUAUCAAAGGCAAAAAGAAGUCAACCAAAAAUUGCAGUUGUUACAUCUUGAAGCUUUAAGUAAUGCUAAUUUAUCCGAAUGGAUUGCUGAUAAAGAAGAAGUUCAAAUUAUUGAUCUUAUUCUCAAAAUAAAAGACAAACUGAAUUUUGCUACUCACAAUCACGGCCUUGUUGGAAAAGAAAGUGUGUCAAGGUUACAGAAGCAGCUGGAAGAUAUUGUCUCCACUCUGCCUGAUGAUCUGCAGAGCGUCAUUAAAACAUGACACCAAAUAGAGACACCUCCCAUCUCUGGGGAACAAUUACACUUGAUAUUUCAAAGUUCCAUUGUGAUGUGAUCAGUCGACAAUUAUGCCUGUGUUGUUGUUUUUUUUCAAAACAAAGCUCUAGCAGACAUCUGACGUUAGUCAAAUAUAGGUUUUUAUGAAGGCAACCACCCAACUCAGGAAUUAAUUGUUAGGUUGUCAAUACCCAAGUUAAAAGAAAGGAAUACAAAAACAUCUCUCAGUGAUCAGGAAAAAAAAAUGAGUUUCCGUACCUCUCACAUUUUCUUAAACAUUUCCUUUCUCUAUUUAUUGAUUCUGACAACUGGGGGUGAUGACUGUAACCUGUGCAGUUUCAA